UUCUUUUUAUGGUCAUAAACCUUGUGUUUAAAUUUCAUAGAUUUCUAUUUACUUAUACUAACGUUAUGGUGCGAAAACCAAGAAAAAUGCUUAUUUGGGUCCCUUUUUGGCCCCUAAUUCCUAAACUGUUGGGACCUAAACUCCCAAAAUCAAUACCAACCUUCCUUUUGAAGUCAUUAACAUUGUGUUUAAAUUUCAUUGAUUUCUAUUUACUUAAACUAAUGUCAUGGUGCGAAAACCAAGAAUAAUGCUUAUUUGGGCCCUUUUUUGGCCACUAAUUCCUAAACUGUUGAGACCAAAACUCCCAAAAUCAAUCCCAACCGUUCUUUUGUGGUCAUAAACCUUGUGUCAAAAUUUCAUAGAUUUCUAUUAAACUUAAACUAAAGUUAUAGUGCGAAACCAAGAAAAUGCUUAUUUGGGCCCUUUUUGGCCCCUAAUUCCUAAAAUGUUGGGACCAAAACUCCCAAAAUCAAUACCAACCUUCCUUUUGUGGUCAUAAACCUUGUGUUAAAAUUUCAUAGAUUUCCAUUCACUUUUACUAAAGUUAGAGUGCGAAAACUAAAAGUAUUCGGACGCCGGACGACGACGACGACGACGCCGACGCCAACGUGAUAGCAAUAUACGACGAAAAUUUUUUCAAAAUUUGCGGUCGUAUAAAAAAGAAAUAUGUUGUUCCUUCAAUAUACUAUGUCGUUCCCUCAAGAUUCUAUGUCGUUCCCACAAAAUAGUUAUCUCGUUCCCUCAAGAUACUAUGUCGUUCCCACAAGAUAGUUAUCUCGUUCCCACAAGAUGCUAUGUCGUUC
rnacentral:lncRNA from 1 species